GAUCAGCAAAGAAAGUCUGAUGAUUCAACAUGUAGUCGGUUGCUCUCACGUUCACACCAAAGGUACCGAACUUAUAUGGAAGACCCUAAGUGGUAAGACCCAUGCCUACUGGAAAUGGAAUCUUCUGCUUCUGGGAACUUCUCUGCUCCACAAACAGUCACGCCCUGGAUCUGCAGACUGCCAUCAACACCUGCUCUCCUGCAGUGCCUGGUGCUCCAGAAACCCCAGGCUGCCCGUUGUGAGGCCAGGGAUGCGCAGCUUUCCCAGAGCCAGGCAUUUUACAUUGUUUGUAGUCUGCAUUUUGGAGUCAUUACUCAGUGGUACAAGAGAUGCAAUUGUCACUGCGGUUGGAAGCCAAUCAACGCGUUGUGAGUGGGAGCCCGCUGGUACUUUCCAAUGGUCCUUGAUUAAAAAGGAAGCUCUUGGCUAUCUUCAAGCAGCAGGAGAGGAAACAGCACGGAGAAGAUACUCAGAUGCAGCGGAAUUCAAGCAUGAAACUAAACAGCUUCUCAGAUAUUAUCUAUUCAGCCAUCUGCUUGACAGACAAUGGAUAACCUUCCAGAUUCAUGGAGCUGCAUCUGCCUUUUAAUCCAGUGGUAGUCUCCAUGGAAAUAAACAGGAGGCAUUACUUUUGGAGCAACCCAUGUAUAUGUGGCCCAGAACCAUUCCUCUUCACUCAAUACAGCUCAGACAAGCCAAAAGGUUGGAUAGCCAUGCUCUAAGGCUUCUGCUCAUCCAGAAGAGACUGCAGGGACUUCAGGUGAUCUUCGCCUCCUGCUGAACCAGAGUGAGUACUGAGCAUCCUCAGGAAGCUGCUCAAUGGUGACCUGCUAAGAGACAAUUGUGUACUGAGGUUAUCCAGCAAAUAAUCUAAAUAGUGUAUGAGUACAACAAAAUCACCAUCUGCCCAUGGAUAGUUGGAGAGCACAAGAAGAGACCAAAGUCACAGAGCAGAUGAUUCAUCCAGCUCUGCUGGGAUUUCUGAACGGGACCUGCUAGUGACAGGCUUUGAUCUAGAGCAUCUGAUCUUUUGUUUCUAUGAAUGCUAAAUUCACCCAGAUGUACGUUAGCAGAUUGCAAAGAAUUAAAACUGUGCUCUUAAGCUAACCAGUGUAUUCACAUACAUUCAGGUUAUUGGUGAGAAUUUUUGAUUUAUGGACUGUAGAAAAAAUACAUUCUAAUAUCAGUGCCAUUUGCUAUUCUGUUGUUUCAAACUGUACCUGGUGCAGGAAUGGCAAAAGACAGAUAUGCCAACUUGGCAAUUGUAAAUUUAAGCAACCGAUUUCUUAAGUGUUAAAAUGUAGUUCCUUGAUGG
rnacentral:lncRNA from 7 species